GUGACAAUGUUACAGGUAAAGCGUUGAAUGUGGAGUUAUGAAAAGAGCACAAAUGUGGUGGAACUGAAUCCUGUCGGAGUCAGAGGAGCUGCAUCAAAGAAAAGCAUUGGUCGUCUGUUGUCUGUGUGCAGAGCUGAAGGAUGGAACUAUGAAAGAUCUGUGGUGAUGGAGUUACGAGAUGCUGCCUGAGUUCCUCCAGUGCUUUGUGUGUUGCUCCAGUUUCCAGCAUCUGCAGUCUUUUACGUCUCCAGGACCCAUCUAUGUGAGGUUUCAACUGGAUUGAAUUUCAAAGAAAACUUUCUGACAGAUAAAACUGUUCCAGAAAAGAAGAGUUCCAGCAAUUAGAAACUACUGAACAACAUGGAGACCCUCACUACAUUUUCCAGAUGGUAUUUAUAUGCCAUACAUGGUUACUUUUGUGAAGUAAUGUUUACAGCUGGAUGGGACUUUGUAGAAAAUGCAAACUGGAAAUUCCUGGGAGUCACCAGUGUGUGGUCCCUUUUUAUCUAUGGCACUUCAAUCCUCAUUGUGGAAAAGAUGUACCUUCACCUUCGGACUAAGUGUAACAUUCUAAUAAGGGGCUUUAUUUAUACACUCUGGACAUAUGUUUGGGAAUUUACAACGGGCUUUAUUCUGCAACAGUUUAAUGCUUGCCCCUGGGAUUAUUCCUCUUUCCGGGGGAACUUUAUGGGAAUAAUUACUCUUGAAUAUGCAAUGCCAUGGUUCCUCGCUUCAAUAGUUGCAGAGCAAAUGGUGAUUAAGAACAUUCUGCGGUUACGUCUUGAAGGACAGGGAGACCCAGCUUCAAGUCAGAAUGGAUGGAAAGACCAUGUGACACUGAAAAAAUCCUUGUAAAUGAAUUUGGUUUGAUCAACUUUUCUUGCAUAACAUCCAUCAAUUGAUUUCCUCUUUGGGAUUUAUUUUACGUUAUUCUUGUUUGGUUUCAGUUUUCACCUUGGUUCCUGAAAUUGUCAUCUAUUGUUACAAUUCCAGUAGGCAAAUGAGAACUAUGCAUGUAUAAACCUUGCUGCUUUCUCUUCUACCCUUUGGAAGGUAUCACAAAUGAGUCUAAUUCUGUUUUAACCUAAAGUCCAGAUCAGUUAUCAGUGGACAAUAUCAGUUGCAAAGAGCAGUAGCAAUUUUGGUGAUUUUUAACCCAUCCUCAUUUCACAUUUUCUGGUCAUUCCUCAUUUGGAUAAGAUAAAUUAAUGCAGUAUAGGUCAGAAAUCUAUCUUCUGCUUUAUACCUUUAUCCUACACUACUUGAACCCGGAAGUCCUUUGCGAUCAUUUUCCGUGGUCCCCAAAUUCACUCUCAAAUAUCCAUCUAAUUUCUUUUGCAGACAACAGGAUUGCCACCAUAAACCAUUCACUGCUUUCUUUUGCUUCUUUGAGCACAUUUCAUUUUUCCUAGAGUUUAGGGUAAACUGAAAUAUAUUAUCAGUACUCAAUUUAACUUUUUUCCAAAGAAUCUUGAAAGCAAAUAUGUUCUUGCAUCUCAAAAACCCUUCAGAUUCCAAAGUAAUCAAGUGGAGUCCUGAUUUUACUUCUCCUCUACUCUUGGUUAUCUCUGAUGUUCUGGUCCUUUGUACAUUAUCUGAAUUUUCUAACUUUCCAAGGUCCCUUGUAAACAAAGCAUGCCUGUUAUUUUUAUCAAUAACAUUAGUCAAAAUUACUGAAAGGGAAAAAGUGACUAAAAUAAAAUAAAUGGUUGAUUUUUUAAAUUGUCAAACUGCAUGACACGCCAUAGGUGUGAAUCAAAAUAGAUGCUUAGGUCUGGAUUUAUUGAAAUUAAUCUUAACUGUUCAAAACAAAACCUUAAACUCUAUUAAUACUUGCUUCCCAGGCAUUCGUCCUUUGUAAUACUGUCACUGAAGCUAUGUUUGUAUUUGAGAUGUGGGACAUUCCAUAUAUUGUCCAGAUGUGCUGAGCUAUUAAUGGUUCCUGGAGUUGUCCAUGAUGGCUUUUAGCACUGCUGAAGAAUAUCAUGGCUUUUAGACAGAGCACUUAUGUCACUCUUCCAAUUGUUUGGAAACAGCUAAAUUAUUAUGACUGCAUUCUGCCUACUGAACCAAUCAAUGGAUGUUCAUUUAUUGAAGCAAAUGUCACUGCAUUAUCAGAAACAAAAGCAUUCUUUCUAUACAACUAUUACACAGGCCUCAACCAGUUUAAAUGUCACUUUCAGGUAUUGCUAUCUAUGCACAGACAAUCAGGAAUGAUAUUUCCAUUUAUAUAGCACCUUGCCACAUUGAAUAAACUUGUUCAUCAAACAGGAGUGCUUUGAGAAGACCUUGACCCAAAGAGAAGUUCUAUCUGUGUCACCUUAUAUUCUCCAAUGAGUAGCAAACAAAACCUGGAAUGUCUAAUUAAACUUAACUCCUCCUUUAUUCAUUAACAACCUGUCACUUCUUAUUGGAUGAUAAAUUGCUAGUUUCCUGUUUUGAAUCUGGGUUAAUUCCUCUCAAACUUCUCAAAUCAAAAUUCUUUACAAGAGGGAAGUAAGAAUUUUUUAGAACUGAACUUGAAGGCAGGAACCUGGAAUGGGAGGACACUGUACUAGUUAAUUUUACAACAGAAAUCAUGAAUACAGAAAAUAUACUUACUGUUCUUUUGGCUUCUUUCGGAAAAUGUAUAGUUAUAUGUUAAUACAUCUUAAAAGAUAAUUGUAUUUUAUGAUUGGACUCUAUUUACAGAUUAUGCAUGAGCACUCUGGGCUUGCAUAG